rnacentral:misc_RNA from 1 species
UGUUAAGUUGCUAUCGGUAAAUAUCUUUCAGUAUUCUCAAAGUCAAUUAAAUUUGUACUGUUAUUACUACAGAGAUGAUUGAAAGAGUAUCACAAUUGCUCAUUUCUGACAAUGUAUCACCGCUUAUGGAUAUUUGACCAUUUAUAAACAUAAACGGCAACUAUAUAAAUAGUCUAACAAUGGAAGUAGAUACGAAAAGACUUUAGGAAACUCGUUCGAAAAUAUAACUUUAUUAACAAUAUAACUACCUCGACUAAAUUGAAAUCUAAUACUAAAUAAUUUUGCAAGAAAACUAUUGGAAAGCAUUCACUGUGCCACCAGUCCUAGAAUUGAAAAAUGCUUCGAAUGCCACCAGUGUCCAAGUACAAAAAUAAAAAUCUACAGAUAUAGAAUUGAGUGAAUAGAAAAGAGAUGUAAAAAUUUCAUAUUCCACUCCCUGAAUCUUUUGUAUGGUUACUUUCGUCGCGUAAGAU